rnacentral:rRNA from 1 species
GACGAACGCUGGCGGCGUGCUUAACACAUGCAAGUCGAACGAUGAAGCCGGAGCUUGCUCUGGUGAAUUAGUGGCGAACGGGUGAGUAACACGUGAGUAACCUGCCCUUGACUCUGGGAUAACUGCGGGAAACUGUAGCUAAUACCGGAUACGACCCUCGGAGGCAUCUCCUGGGGGUGGAAAGAAUUUCGGUCAAGGAUGGACUCGCGGCCUAUCAGCUAGUUGGUGAGGUAAAGGCUCACCAAGGCGACGACGGGUAGCCGGCCUGAGAGGGGGCACGGCCACACUGGGACUGAGACACGGCCCAGACUCCUACGGGAGGCAGCAGUGGGGAAUAUUGCACAAUGGGCGCAAGCCUGAUGCAGCAACGCCGCGUGAGGGAUGACGGCCUUCGGGUUGUAAACCUCUUUUAGCAGGGAAGAAGCGAAAGUGACGGUACCUGUAGAAAAAGCACCGGCUAACUACGUGCCAGCCGCCGCCGUAA